rfam:Cicer arietinum chromosome Ca7, whole genome shotgun sequence.
GGCCAAUGAUGUACUCAUUGCACGUAUUACCAGAUAUUUUAUUUGAUGAUAAUCUCAAAAUUGUCACUACCUCUGAGGCC